rnacentral:rRNA from 1 species
CCUACGGGAGGCAGCAGUGAGGAAUAUUGGUCAAUGGUCGGGAGACUGAACCAGCCAAGCCGCGUGAGGGAUGAAGGUACAGAGUAUCGUAAACCUCUUUUGUCAGGGAACAAAGGCGGGGCCGUGUCCCCGGAUGAGUGUACCUGAAGAAAAGGCAUCGGCUAACUCCGUGCCAGCAGCCGCGGUAAUACUGAGGAUGCGAGGGUUAUCCGGUUUUAUUGGGUUUAAAGGGUGCGCAGGCGGUCUGUUAAGUCAGCGGUCAAAGCCCGGGGCUCACCCCCGGCCCGCCGUUGAAACUGGCAGUCGCGAGUUGGAGAGAAGUAUGCGGAAUGCGCGGUGUAGCGGUGAAAUGCAUAGAUAUCGCGCAGAACUCCGAUUGCGAAGGCAGCAUGCCGGCUCCACACUGACGCUGAGGCACGAAAGCGUGGGUAUCGAACAGGAUUAGAUACCCCAGUAGUC